UACGUAGGUGGCAAGCGAUACUCGGAAUCACUAGGCGUAAAGCGCAGGUAGGCGGUUGGAUAAGUUUCUUGUGAAAGCUCCCGGCUUAACUGGGAGAGGUCAAGGAAUACUGUCUGACUUGAGUGUGGUAGGGGUAACUGGAAUUCCCGGUGUAGCGGUGAAAUGCGUAGAUAUCGGGAGGAAUACCUAUGGCGAAAGCAGGUUACCAAGCUGUAACUGACGCUGAGGCACGAAAGUGUGGGGAUCAAACAGG
rnacentral:rRNA from 1 species